GUGAGUCCAAAGAAGGCCAUGAAGAUGCGCAGAGGGCUGGAGCACCUCUGCUAUGGAGACAGGCUGAGAGAGCUGGACUUGUUCAACCUGGAGAAGAGAAUCCUCUGGGGAGACCUUAGAGCAGCCUUCCACUAGCUAAAAGAUCUGGAGGAGCUGAGUGUAGCUCCCACAUCUUUGAUCGCCGCUGAGCAUUGUCUGACGCAGGGAUGAGAGACCUAAAAGGAUGCUGCAAUGCUACAAAAUCAAGGAUGAUGUGACUGGAGAACCAAUGAUAAGCAUCUACCCCAGCUGCAUUUUAUACUUGCAGAUCCUCUUUCAUCGAACAGGUAAGGGUCCCAAGGACUCUACAGACACAGUAUAUUCCUAAUGAAGAGGAAAGAGUGGAGUAAGUGGAGACAUUGUCUUUGCAGUGAUUGUGUGUCAUUACAAUGGAGUAAAUGCUCUGAAAUGAAUAUUUUG